rnacentral:tRNA from 1 species
GUCCCCGUAGCUCAGUUGGAUAGAGCAUUCGCCUCCUAAGUGAAAGGUCGCAGGUUCGACUCCUGCCGGGGACGCCA